UACGGAGGGAGCUAGCGUUGUUCGGAAUUACUGGGCGUAAAGCGCACGUAGGCGGCUUUGCAAGUUAGAGGUGAAAGCCCGGGGCUCAACUCCGGAAUUGCCUUUAAAACUGCAUCGCUAGAGUUGUGGAGAGGUAAGUGGAAGUUCCGAGUGUAGAGGUGAAAUUCGUAGAAUAUUCGGAAGAACACCAGUGGCGAAGGAC
rnacentral:rRNA from 1 species